AAAGAAAAUCAACCCAGCUGUAAGAGCUGUCAUUUUCCAGAAAGAGAAAACUCUUAGAAAUAUCUCUUUUAAAAACAACCUCAGGAGAAGAUCAAAAGUCGAAAGCAAAAGGUUCUCUUCUCAUAAUCCUAUAGUCUAUCUGGCCUCCGUCAUCACCAUCCUCGAUCAACCUCUGCCACUGUAAUCUCCGACCCAUCAUUUCUCUGACUAGGAACUCCUUCGACCUUCAUGGAUCUACAGAUUCCUUGCAGUCCAGAUAGCCCAAAUGGCACAGACAUAGGUUCGGCUUGCAUCUUUCUCACUAUUCAACAUUAUCCAUAUAAACCAAUCAAAAAACUCCACCUAAGAUAAAAUCUAAGGCCAGUCAAAAUUUAACUUUCCCCAUGUCUCUAGCUGAGAAGCAUUUAGGACUCAAACAUCCUCUUCAAUUCUAACGUCAUGAUCAGUGCCAAUUCUCCAGCAGAGACCUGUUAGUAAGAGACCUUUUGCGGCCCAUAUACUUUUCCAAGUAUAUGAUGAACACAGCAAUGUCAGAUUCUCAUAGGGAACCACUAAAGAGUUUUUCACCGAUAGUUGAAUUAACUCUUCCUCAAGAAGGGAAAUCUCGUUUUGAUCCACCAUCAUGCCAGAGUCACAACUCAUCUUCUUCCCCACCACAGCAUACACUAUUUCUUCGGGAGACCUAAGAGAGCACUCUUGACUCAAGUUUCUUUUUUUAUCAAUUUUCAAAUCGCUGAUGAAUUUUCAAUACCAUAACGGAGUCGCCGUUAAUUUUUUUUUAUAGAGUGAUUGACUGCAUAAAAAGUUGUUAUUAUUGUCGAAACUAUUUUUUUUUUUAAAAAAAAAGGGAUUGACUUUAUAUUUUGUAAAGAAAACGAAAAUUGGGAGUCGCCACUAAUCUUUUUUUGUUUAGGUGUGAUUAGAUUACCAAGAAGUUUGGUCAUUUUAAUAAAACAUUUUGGUUUACUAAAACAA